rnacentral:lncRNA from 1 species
UCAUUGACUUCACUAUUAUUACUCUUCCUGUUCAGUUCAAUCUCUAUCAACCCUUCUUAAUCAUCCUCUUCCCACUGGAAGCAUAAGUUCUCAGAUGACUCCCAGUCUUCGAUCGUCAGGAAAUCUCCCUCUGACGAAGUGUCUGUGUUGGAUUCCGGGUAAUACAGUGACAAAGAUGCGUAUUUUUCAAUUACAGCCAUCUGUGCCUCUCUCUUUUCCUCCCAAAACCCCUCAUUUCCUGCUUCUUCACCUUCGUAUUCUUCAUGUAUAACCUCCAAUGGUGCCCUCACAUCCCAUUCCACGAAACACUCGGCCAAAAAAUUGGGACCCGGAUUCAAAU